AAGAAGCAUUAUUUUGACGUUCGGCGGCGCAUUUUUCAAAUCGAUGACGAGAAAAUAUUAACGUUGUUUGGGAGAUACAGAAGAAUAAGAAGAACAAACAGAAUGAGAGAAUAUUUCCACAGCUCCACGGGGUCUUUCCGCGAUUGGCGAAAGCAUCAUAUUUGAAGUUAGUUUUUAGGUUUAGCAUCGGGUUUACGUUUCCUGAACAACUUUUACAACAGUAGAGUCGCUGUACAUUACACGAUCCAGAGAAGAGGGUCCUGAACAGCCGUGUUUGAAAACAUUUCCCAGAACUCAGCAUGGUACUAGGUAAAGGGCUUUCAAUCCAUGGCUUGAAUAUUCUGUAAGUCAAGAUUCGAUUUAUUGUUUCGCCUGUAGUUAUUUUUCUCUGUUCAAUACACCUGAAUCUGCCUUCACAUCACAGUCAGGGUUUUGUAACUGGAAAAAGGCGCUGUUUAAAGAUUCUGGGUUUAAGCUCCAUUUGAAGGCAGAGCAUCAUAUCAAUGCUAUGUAUGCUUGGAAUCAGCAUAAAAGGGCUAUUGACAGCAACUCAUCAAUGUUAGAUGUCAUAAAUGAGGACCAGAAAAAGAAAGUGGAGGACAGUGCAAGAUUUGCAUUUUAUGUGCACUGUAAUGCACAUUGUUUGAAUUUAGUUCUUGUCGAUGCUGUAAAAUCAGUGCCUGAGGCAGUUAAUGCUAUAAAGCAGAAGCUUUAUAAUGUUCUAUUCUGGCUCGUAAGUUCAUCUCAAGUGGCUUGCAGUUCAGAAAGAGCUCUAGCCACAGCAGCAGCACAGGGAACUACAGAGACUUACGGAUGUAAGGUAGAUGCAGAUACAUGGCAUGCCGUAACCUGAGGGACAGGCUUCCAGCAGUUCUGAGAGUGCUACAGGCUAUCACACUUGAAAAUAGAUCAGUGGAGGUAAGGGGCCUUCUUUCUCAGAUAGAUUUACAUUUCAUAGGGCUUUUGGUUACCUUUUGUGAAGUGCUUGGUGAUGCCAAAUGUCUUUCUGACCGGCUCCAAUCAAGCUCUCUUGACCCAGCAAGGGCUGUGGACGUAGUAGGUGCCCUUACAGACACAUUACAGGACUACAGAAGUGAGGGUUACAUUGGAAAACUAUGGAAAGAGGUUGAAGAGAUGUCAGAGCACUGCAAAAUAAGUGUACAAACAGUGUGCAAAAGACAGCCUAAAACAAGCGUAAGAUUUCACUACUCAUUGAUGAUGAGCACUGUAGGACAGACAAAUAGUGACCAAAGUGAUGGUGAGAGUUUCCAAAGAGAUGUUUUAUCAGGUGCUUGACAGUCUCACAGCAGAGGUGUUUUUCAAAGAAGAAUUGCGAGAUAAUGCAAGGGGUCCAGUCUCUUAACGCAAAGAGGACAACAUUCUUGAAUGAGGAGCCUGUUUGCCUUUGCUCAUACCUUUGAGUCAGAUUUAGAGGACCUCAAACAUGAGGUUCAUCAAACCAAGCGGCUUCUUGAUAUGAGAGAGAAAAGUGGAAGGGACAGACCGUCUACUCUCCUCUCCUUGACUUUGUUGUGUUUCUAGAACCUUAUAAAAGAAGUCUUCCAUGAGCUAUUUCGACUUUGUAAGAUGUCUGUUGUUACACCAGUCAGCAAUGCUUCUUGCGAGAGAGGCUUCUCAGCUUUAAAACGGAUUAAAACCCACCGUAGGACAACAAUGGUUGAUGACAGGUUAAGUGACCUCUGAAUCCUCAGUGUUGAGUCAAGGAGGGCACGCUCCCUCAACAUGGAUGAGUUUGUGAAACAUUUUGACAGUUCUCAACAGAACCGCAGAAUUAUGCUGUUUUAAAUCUACCUAGGAUAAUUUGGCACUUAGGUGGUCCCUCUGGUCAUGAUUAAAACCUGCACUGUGUACUAGCUAGUACACUGACAUUCUAAAAUUAUAAAUCCAAAGGGUAUCAUGUCACACAGAUUUCAUUUGGUCUUGAUUAGGCCAAUUCCAAAACUUUUCUUUGAUAUUAGUGAACAUAAUAUAUGUGACCAUACAUAUGAUACUGUAAGUUUAUGAUCCUGUAAAUAUUGAUGGGCACCAAAAUUAUUUUUAAAGUCAAUUUCUGCGUUUGUGUGUGUGUGUGUGCGUGCGUGAAAUUGAGCUGCAGUUCCGAGGUAGAGACACUGACUAUUCAUAGUAUGUUAAAGAAUUCUAUUGAAGUAACCCUUUUGGACCACACUAUCUGCCACACUGAAGAACUUCAGGUUAAGUGAAUUAUCACUUCUACCUCUAAUCAGCAAUCAUACGAUUCAUUCAUGCACCUUAGAUGCCAGGUUAGGGUUACACACUCAUUUUCUGUCAUGGUCCAUGGACCCCCUGAAGUAGCCUUGGCCACCCCAUGUAUAAAACUCUUGUUCCGCCACUGAGUGGAGCACGUCGCCUAAACAGGUGUGCGUUUCUUUCGCCUCCAGAUCAACCUGUUAAUAUAAAUGACCAUAUUCUAAAUGUGUUUUCUGUCAUUCUGAGCUCCGUGGGUGGAGGCUCUAAUCAGGUUACGUGUCCAAUGCAUGAAUUAAAAUGUUGCCGGUCAAAUGUCCGGCUCCACAUUUUCCUAAUGGAAACCUUGGACCAACAGUAUCAAAAGCGGGAUUAAGAUCCAAAAUAACUAGAAUAGAGAAGUCACCAGGAUCAGCAGCCAACAAGGUCUUUACUCACUUUCAAUAAAGUAGGUUCCAUACUGUGCAGUGAGCCCUACUGGAAUUCUUCAAAUAGGUUCAUACUCAAACAAGCCACUAAUUACUUGAAAACGACUUUUUCUAAAAAUCUAGGAUAAAAAAAAGCAAGUUUAGCGAUAGGUCUAUAAUUACACAGUGAGGGGGGGUCUAUAGACUGGUCUUUUUAAGGAGAGGUUGAACCAGAGCAGUUUUAAAAUUGUCUGGAAAGGAGCCAGAGGUCAGGGAGCGAUUUACAAUAGACAGAAUGUUGGGGCCAGCAGUAGGCAUAAUAACCUCUUAUAGUAGUCUAGUAGGGAUCACGUCCAAGGGGCAGGAGGAGGUCUUCAUGUAAGCUACAGUAUCAAGGAGGAACUCACAGGAUAUUUGCUGAAAGGAGCUAAAGGAAGCAGUAGACAGCCUCAGAGUAGUUGCCUCAAGUGCCUCCUGACCAGAAAAGCUGGGAUUGUGUCGACUACUGUCAAUCUGGAAUCUAAUCUUUUCUAUAAAGAAUCAGAAAAACUGUUUGCAGAGACCAAGGGAUGUGAGCAUGUCAUUCUUAGUUUCUACUGGUGCCACUGAGUCUAAAGCAGCCUGACAUAUGUCACUGAAACUGCAAAUCAUGAGUGUGAUGACAAAGAACAUGAUCAGUAGUAGGGGAUUUAAAAGCUUCAGUACAUUUAUUAACAGUUGUGGAGUUAAUGAUGCCUGAGAGUGGGGACAGACGUUUUUAAGAGGAGGAGAAAGAAUUUUUAAAACAAUACUGAGAUGGUCAUAGACACACACAUCAAUAGUUUCCAAGUUAUCAAACCAUAGGACAGACAGCACGAGAUCAGGGGAUGGCUUUUGUUGUGUGUAGGUCCCUGUGGCGUAGAGCACAAGGCUAAAGGGUUCUAAUAGGUUAAGAAACGCCCCAGAUAGCUCAUUAUUUAGGAAACACACAUGAAUGUUUAGAAUAAUAACUCUGUCAUAAUUAGGCGCAACCAAAGAGAGCAGGUAGGAGAAUUCUGCAAUGAACAAACUAUUAGGUUUAGAAGGGUGGUACACUAAAAUAUACAAGGAGGCCUGUUUCUUGUUCAAGUAAAAGAUAAGACUCUCAAAUGAGGACAUUCUUCCACAUGACACCGGGCUACAUAUAUACUUGUCUAUGAAUGAUGGCUACUCCCCCACCACGGCCAGGAUUUCUGUCGAUAAGAAGGGGCUGGAGGGAUAGAUUCAUUUAGAUCAGGUAUUCCCAAACUGGGAUACGCGCAAUGCCGUCGGAGGUACUCCAAAUAAACAUUUGGUUCACUUUUUAUUUUUUGUUAUUACAUAAAAUAUAUUUUAAAAUAUUCACAUUUUCAAACAGUACAUUUAUAUUUUCCCAACAGGCCUAUACAUUUGGGUGUGUUUUUUUCUCACCUGAGUAGCCUCGUUUCACUGCCAAAAAUAAAAUUAAACCAUCUAGUGUUCAGUGAAAUAACAACACAAUGUCAAAUACAGGUAGUCUAAUCAAAUAAUUAACAUCCAAUCACAUUAACCAUUACUCUAUCGCAGGAAACCUUCACUCUUGUGCAGACAUUUAGAAAUUAAACAUGACAAUUUGAAAAAUAAGCCACAGGAGUUUUUUGAGCGAGAAUAAAGAUGACUUUCGAGUAGUAAGACAUGUAUAAAAGCAACAGAUACCAUUCAUAAGAAGGGCUAGAAGCGUCUUGUAUGGUGAGCUACCGAGUGGCUAGGACAGGCAAGCCCCAUAUUAUUGUGGAGGACUUUAAUUCUUCCUGCUACCGCAGAUAUGGCUGGGACAAUGUUGGGGGAAAAGGUUAAAAAAAAAUAUACAGACAAUGUCUCCACCAAACAAAACCGUUUCACGAUGCAUCAGUGACAUGGCAGGAGAUGUUUUGAAACAAUUACUGCUUUGCAUACAAGCCAGUGAAUUCUAUGCAUUACAGCUGGAUGAGUCAGCAAACGUGACGGGCCUGGCACAGCUCCUGGUAUAUGUUUGUUACGUUUAUGAGGGGUCAAUUAAGGAAGACAUCCUCUUCUGCAAACCACUGGAAGCCAGGACAACAGGAGAGAAUACUUUUUUAAAGUACUGGACAGCUUUGUGACAUCAAAUGGACUUUGGUGGUCAAGAUAUUUUGGUAAUUGUACUGAUGGUGCAAAUGCCAUGACAGGAAGACAUAGUGGAGUGGUAACGUGCAUGCAUACACUGCAGCAUCCACCGAGAGGCUCUUGUUGCCAAGGGAAUGCCUGACAGCUUGAACGACAUUUUGGACACUACAGUGAAAAUGGUUAACUUAGUUAAAGCAAUGCCUCUAAAUUCUCGUGUAUUUUCUGCAUUAUGCAAUGAUAUGGGCAGCGACCAUGUAAAGCUUUUACAACAGACAGAAGUGCGCUGGUUAUCAAGGGGCAAAGUAUUGACACGUUUUUUUUUUUUUUUAAUUGAGAGACGAGUUUAAAGUGUUCUUUACUGACCAGAAUUUUCCCUUGUCUGACCGCUUGCAUGAUGACGAGUUUCUCACAUGACUGGCCUAUCUACGUGAUGUUUUUUCUCGCCUGAAUGAUCUGAAUCUAGGAUUACAGGGACUCUCUGCAACUAUAUUCAAUGUGUGGGACAAAAUUGAAGCUAUGAUUAAGAAGUUGGAGAUCUUCUCUGUCUGCAUUAACAAGGACAACACACAGGUCUUUCCAUCAUUGUUUGAUUUGGUGAACUGUCAAAUGUGAUAUAGCGAAGCACCUGAGUGAGUUGAGUGCGCAAUUACUCUCCCGAAACAGAUGACACAAAUAACUGGAUUCGUUAUCCCUUUCAUGCCCUGCCUCCAGUCCACUUACCAAUAUCUGAACAAGAGAGCCUCAUCGAAAUUGCAACAAACGGUUCUGUGAAAAUUGUAUUUAAUCAGAAGCAACUGUCAGAUUUCUGGAUUGGGCUGAGCUCAGAGUAUCCUGCCUUGGCAAAUUGCACUGUUAAGACACUGAUGCCAUUUGCAACCACAUACCUAUGUGAGAGUGGAUUCUCGGCCCUCACUAGCAUGAAAACUAAAUACAGGCACAGACUGUGUGUUGAAAAUGAUUGAAGACUGAGACUCUCCAAUACAACACAACAUUUGCAGAGUUAUGUGCAUCCUUUCAAGCACACCCUUCUCAUUAACCUGUGGUGAGUUUUUCACCAUGUUUGAUGAACAAAUAAGGUUUUAUAUGUAAGACGGUUAAAUAAAGAGCAAAAUGAUUGAUUAUUGUAUUAUUAUGUGUGCCUUGGUCCCAUAAGAGCUCUUUGUCACUUCCCAUGGGCCGGGUAGUGACAAAAACUCACACUCAUUCUUAUGUUUAAUAAAUGUAUUGUAUAGUGUGUGUGUGGCAGGCUUACAAUGAUGGCAAAAAAAAACAUUUGAGAGUUCGCUGACCCUGGUGCUAGAGGAGGUACGCAGCUGGAGGUUGAAUGUUUGAAGGGGUACGGGACUAUAACAAGUUUGGGAACCACUGAUUUAGAGAACUGAAGUCCUUGGUUUAAGCCAAGUUUCAGUAAGUAUGAAAAUAUCAAUGUAAAAUCAAAUAACAAAAUCAUUGCAUAUGAAUGACGUAUUUAGAGAUCUUACAUUCAAUCUUGACAUGGAUUGCUGCCGGAUUGACAGAGGUAUUCAGGGGAUAGAGGAACAGAAAUGAGGUUACUUACACUACGGGGGAUAAUAUGCUGUCCAUGUCCUCUGUGUCACGUUAGUCAAAAAUUAUUCGGGACACAGGAGCAGGAAUGCGUAAUAGUUUUUUUUAUUGUACCCAAAUUACGGCGUGCCGUGGAAAGGCACGGGGAUGAAGACCAAACAAACACGUACACAAAACACAGGGUUGAGUCCCAAACAAAAGAGCGAGGAGUACCUUGAAUAAUUAACAUGCACAACGUGCACAAUGAUUAACACACGGGACGAGACCAGGAAUCAUCUGCGCAAUUCACAAUGGCACGAAAGCCAAAACACACAGCACAGGUACUCACACGCACAUUGUAACAAUAAAUGGACAGCACCAUGGUAUACAAAUACUAAUCAGUGGGAAGAGGGGACAGGUGCGCGUGAUGAAAGUUCUGGAGGAAUCCGUGACACUCUGGUGCUAAUUAUGACAGGGAGGACUGGAGAACUAACAGACCCAGGCCGUCAGUCUCUAAAACAGUUUGCUACGUUGCUGGAAAUAAUCCUGGAACCCGUGCAGUUAGGGUGAAUCCAGUCUCAUUUAAAAGAGUGCUGGCUGCUCCCAAAGCAAGUCAAAAUUGUCAAAGAAAGUAGCCCAGAAGCUGAACUGGUACACUCACCCAUUCCCUCAUUGAGAACACAACAAUAAUACAUCUGGUGAAUGAAUCAAGAUGAGCUGACAUAUAGUAGGGAAAGAGAGGGCUGUGUUGAGACAGAUGAUGUGCUGCUCUCUGGUCCAUUCCAAGCUCCCAGCCCAGACUCCCAGACUGACAAUCACAGAACCUCUAUCUGACCCUGCCAGCAGGAAACAAACUCUCCCAAGAUAAGCCCUAUCUUCUUCACAAGCAGACCAGACUAUAUGUGUGUGUAUAUACAAGACUACAGUAGGAGCAGUAGAAGAUAUUCUUACUGUUGUGAUACAGUAGCGAUGAUGAUGUGUGCGCAGUCGCGCACAAAUGUGUGUGUGUGUGUGUUGUUUGUAUGCCCUAAUGUGUUCAGACUCAAUGUUACCCGGCGUUGAGUGGUGAGGUAACACCACGGAGACAGAGAGCAAUCAAUCAACCAAUCAUUAGAAUUCCCAACAAGCGGCUCUAAAUCUCUGUGGCAUGCUAAUCGAUAGCACUUAGCCUGCACCCCCAGUAUUAUGCAAUGCCACUGUGGUCCACUGCUCUGGCAGACUAUCGCCCUGCCACACACACACACACACACACACACACAGGACUACCCACAGAGCAUGACAGCAGGUCAAUCAAAUCUAUCAACACAAUUGCUCUCAAUUAGAUCAGGGAUUGAUGAAAAGUUGGCUGGUGUUUUUAGGUGUGAGUGCACAACUAUGACGCCUUAUGCAACAACAGAGGGCUUUUAUAUGGCCCAAUACUGUAACCUUGAUAUUGGCUCCCUGGAAGAGAUCUAUAAAAGGAGGAAUGAUAGCAAAUUGAGAGUGAGAAAGAGUGUGAGAAAAAGACAGAUGGAGGGAGACGGGGAGUGAAUGGGAAAGCAGACGAGUGAUUUUCUGUUUGCUGUAAGGGCAGUCAGCAGGGCCAAAUUGGGGUGCAGUGGCUACUAGCUAGGUGCAGUAGGAGCUCAGACAGACAGAUAGACAGAGCUGAACAGUAUGGCACAGAUGCACAUGUUCCUUUAAGAGAGGCUGCACUCAAUGGAGAUCACAUGUCUGGGGCCUGUCCUGCUGACUCAGGCCUUCCACUCCACUGCUAACCUCAAAUCACACAGGAGGGAGGGGAAGAGAGAGAGACAGAGAGGAAGGCUUAACUCAACUUAACAGGACUCAGGAGGCAGAGACAGAGAGUGGGGGUGGAGAGGGAGGGAGAGAGAGAGUGCAAGAGAGGAUGGGGUGCAGACAGGAAGGUAGAGGGAGAGCCGAAGAUGGAGUAAAUAAUGAAGGGACAAAAGGCGGGAAAAUGCAACAACACAGUCCGUACAGUCAACACUUCUCUGCCUCUCGUUUCAGGCGGGAAACUAGUGGUUGUAACAUGGGAUAGAGAGAGCCCCAUGUGACCUCCGUAACAACAUAGCACCCGCCACCCUUAUGUAACAAACGUUAUCUCAACAUCCUGAGAGUGUUACGAGCUGAUAAAAAACAACAACAAAGUUGGUCCUGUCCCUGCAGCAGGCUGUGAUAUGAUGUGGUUCAAAGGCGAGGUAAUUAACAUAAUGGGUCUGGUCUACAGGGAUGAUGAGGGAGGGCUUCUGACUGACUGAUGGCUCCUUCCUGUUGUCGUACUAUAGGUAAGCUCUCCCUUUCCCCUCAUCUACAACAGGAAAUGGCUCUGGACACACUGUACAUUCUGUAAGGGAAAGAUCACUACCUGUCUGGACACAAGCCACCGCCUCAGAGGAAAGACGUGUAAGGUAAUUAAACACCAUGGAAACGGAGGGAAGUAAUGCCAUGCAGGGGAGCGGGGGAUAGAGGAGAGGAGAGCAGCUGGAGCUGUCAUAGCAAGACAAUGAUACACACAAUUACAGUACACACACACAAAUACGUCACACACGGUACACUGAAUGUACAAAACAUUAGGAACACCUUCCUAAUAUUGAGUUGCACCCCGCCCCGUUUGCCAAACACAACAGCCUUAAUUGGUCAGGGCAUGGACUCUACAAGGUGUCGAAAGCGUUCUACAGGUAUGCUGGCCCAUGUUGACUCCAAUGCUUCCUACAGUUGUGUCGGUUGGAUGUCCUUUAGGUGGUGGACCAUUCUUGAUACACACAGGAAACUGUUGAGCGUGAAAACCCCAGCGGUGUUGCAAUUCACACUCAAACCGGUGUGCCUGGCACCUACUACCAUACCCUGUUCAAAGGCACAAAUCUUUUGUCUUGCCCAUUCACCCUCUGAAUGGAACACAUACACAAUCCAUAUCUCAAUUGUCUCAAAGCUUAAAAACCCUUCUUUAACCUGUCUCCUCCUCUUCAUUUACACUGAUUGAAGUGGAGUUAACAAGUGACAUCAAUAAGGGAUCAUAGUUUUCACCUGGUCAGUCUAUGUCAUGGAAACAGCAGGUGUUCCUAAUGUUUUGUACACUCAGUGUAUAUGCACAAACACAACACACAGUGAUAUCAGAGCAGUGUGAAAGGCGAGUCGUAAUCCCACUCCCUGGCUUCUCAGUAGCAGAGAGAGUGGAUGACAGGAUCAAAGGCUUGCUGUAGGAGCUGUCACAAAUCAAUGGAGAGAAACCUGGGAGGAUUACCCUCAUGUCCUACACACAAGCCUUUUACAGCCUAUUCAAACAUGUCUGUGAAAACACAAUUGGCACCACUGCCAUUUGCACAUGCACGUAUAAAUUAGUCAUAGGAAGUUGAGUGAUGGGAAAAUGGAAAUCUGACUGGGUUCACUACCUAUUUAAAAAGGAAUGCUGGUGAAAGUAGAUGAAGCAGUAUUUCACAUUAUACUGUACCGUAAUUUAUAGCAGUGGCAGUACUUCUGUUCAUAUACAUCUAAGUGAUAUUUAACUUCUAUACUAGUCAGAUACUUAGAGAAGGAAGGGUGAUGUAAGGUAGUAACUGUGGGGGGGUGUACCUGGGUCCAGGGGCGAGGGAGGAGGGCUCUGGUCUGCUGGGUAUAGUCCACACAUCUGGUGUUUCCUCCUUGGACUUCAGAAAGCACUUGGCCUCCUUGGAGUCAGCAUCUACCUCUUUGGUUACUCUGAAGACAGUAACAGGCAGACACUUAAACCCAGGACUGUAUUAGUGGCCUCAGUCUAAUGAGCAUAAGUAGAGAUCAAAUUACAUAACACUGUACAUUUCUCAAGAAAAGGACACACAAGGACAGACACACACACAGACAACAAGCUGAUAAACUGAUAAACACACAACAAGCCUUGGGUUGCUUUGGCACAAACAAAUUGCCAACCUCUCUCUAAUGCCAUUUAAUAUCAUGUUUACAUACCCUACAUUACUCAUCACAUAUGUAUAUACUGUACUCAUUUAAACUGCUGCAUCUACUGCAUCUUGCCAUCUUUAUGUAAUACAUGUAUCACUAGCCACUUUAAACUAUGCCACUUUAUGUUUAUAUACCCUACAUUACUCAUCUCAUAUGUAUAUACUGUACUCGAUACCAUCUACUGCAUAUUGCCUAUGCCGUUCUGUACCAUCACUCAUUCAUAUAUCUUUAUGUACAUAUUGUUCAUUCCUUUACACUUGUGAGUAUAAGGUAGUAGUUGUGGAAUUGUUAGUUAGACUACUCGUUGGUUAUUACUGCAUUGUCGGAACUAGAAGCACAAGCAUUUCGCUACACUCGCAUUAACAUCUGCUAACCAUGUGUAUGUGACAAAUACAAUUUGAUUUGAUUUAAUUCUCUCACACACACACAUAAAAACACACACACACAUAAAAACAUAACCCCAGUGAAAAAAUAUAUGUAUUUUCUUAAACCAAAAACCGACAUGGCCGAUGUUUCAUUAACCCCUUAGGUUGGUCACUGUUUACAAGCCAAUAAAACCAACAAAUAUGUU